AUAGCCCUGCUGUGUUCGUGAGGUUGCGGGUGAAGUUUUGAGCCAACACCGUCAACGAGGGAACCCGGUCUCUGGGGGCGGAGGCCAGGCCUGCGCCGCCAGGCGUUUCAGGUAGGCCAAAGCCGCCAGGAGGGUACCCACCUGCUGAGAGCAGGUUCAAAAACCACCGC
rnacentral:other from 1 species